AGUAAUGCUUGGGAAUCUAGCUUAUGGAGGGGGAUACCUACGGGAAACUGUAGCUAAUACCGCGUAGAAUCGAGAGAUGAAAGUGUGGGACCUUCGGGCCACAUGCCAUAGGAUGAGCCCAAGUGGGAUUAGGUAGUUGGUGAGGUAAAGGCUCACCAAGCCGACGAUCUCUAGCUGGUCUGAGAGGAUGACCAGCCACACUGGGACUGAGACACGGCCCAG
rnacentral:rRNA from 1 species